UCGCGCCUACGGGACGCAGCAGUGGGGAAUAUUGGACAAUGGGGGGAACCCUGAUCCAGCGACGCCGCGUGAGUGAAGAAGUAUUUCGGUAUGUAAAGCUCUAUCAGCAGGGAAGAAAAUGACGGUACCUGACUAAGAAGCCCCGGCUAACUACGUGCCAGCAGCCGUGGUAAUACGUAGGGGGCGAGCGUUAUCCGGAAUUACUGGGUGUAAAGGGAGCGUAGACGGCGAGGUAAGCCUGAAGUGGAAGCCCGCGGCCCAACCGCGGAACUGCUUUGGGAACUGUUUUGCUGGAGUAUGGGAGG
rnacentral:rRNA from 1 species